rnacentral:misc_RNA from 1 species
AAGUCGUAACAAGGUUUCCGUAGGUGAACCUGCGGAAGGAUCAUUAAAGAUUUCAUAAGCACAUUUGCUUUCACGCCGCCUGCGGCGAGCCUUUUUUGAAUGGCACGUCGCAAGCGACGUGAUAGCAAAUUGGGGAGGCUGGCGAGGGAUGCCGCCUGCGGCGUGCUUUUUUUUGAAUGGCACGUCGCAAGCGACGUGAUAGCGCAAAUUGGCGAGGGAUAUUUACAUGCUCGUCGCAAGCGAUGUGCUUUUAGAAACACGUCGCUUGCGACGUGCGAGUAAACAUAAUGACACUAAUUCAAUACAUUAACAUUAUUUGUACCACUUUUGACAAUGGAUCUCUAGGCUCUU